AUUCCAGCUCCAAUAGCGUAUAUUAAAGUUGUUGCGGUUAAAAAGCUCGUAGUUGGAUUUCUGCCGAGGACGACCGGUCCGCCCUGUGGGUGAGCAUCUGGAUCGGCCUGGGCAUCUUCUUGGGGAACGUAGCUGCACUUGACUGUGUGGUGCGGUAUCCAGGACUUUUACCUUGAGGAAAUUAGAGUGUUUCAAGCAGGCGCACGCCUUGAAUACAUUAGCAUGGAAUAAUAAGAUAGGACCUCGGUUCUAUUUUGUUGGUUUCUAGAGCUGAGGUAAUGAUUAAUAGGGACAGUCGGGGGCAUUUGUAUUCAAACGACAGAGGUGAAAUUCUUGGACCGUUUGAAGACAAACUACUGCGAAAGCAUUUGCCAAGAAUGUUUUCAUCA
rnacentral:rRNA from 1 species